GUAUAUUAACUGUUGUUCCCUUUUACAUAAAUCCACACCUCUUUGAUUGAUAAAACUUCAACUUCAGAGUUGUUCCACAGCGUCUUAUAUUAUUUAUAAAGAUACGCUUGCCAAUUUCAAUGAUGUUGACUUGCAUGUUUCUUUCCUCUUGUUUGUGUUAAUGUGCCGUACUAGCAAUGGAGCAUUUACAGGGACAUUAACCACAGGUCCGCAUUCAUAUGCUCAGAAUGCUAUUAUCAAUAAUCUCGACAACGUUCUUAACCCGGAUAAUUUUUAAAGUGGUGGAAUAUUUACUGUUGCUGGAGGACAGGAUGGUACUUACUUAGUGUCUGUUACCAUGAUGGCAGGCGAUGUAAACACUCACACUACUCUUAUGAAGAAAGGAGAUAUUUAUGUGUGGCUAUAUGCUGGUGAAUAAUAUGAUAUGGAUACCCUAACUGUCACCAUGCAACUGGCAGUGGGAGACCAAAU